rnacentral:rRNA from 1 species
UACAGAGGUCUCAAGCGUUUGUUCGGAUUCAUUGGGCUUAAAGGGUGCGUAGGUGGUUGCGUAAGUAAGGUGUGAAAUCCCUCGGCUUACCCGGGGAAUUGCAUUUUAUACUGCGUGGCUUGAGGACUAAAGGGGGAAAAGGGAACUCCAGGUGUAGCGGUGAAAUGCGCAGAUAUCUGGGGGAAGGCCGGCGGCGAAGGCGCUUUUCUGGUUAGUACCUGACACUGAGGCACGGAAAGCGUGGGGAGCCAAACAGGG